ensembl:lncRNA
GUAUGUGUUGUUUCUUGAGAUGGGUGCCAUCAGGCAGAAGUGGGCUCUUAAGGCUGGCAGAGUUGGAUUCUUCUAGACCUCUGAAUGAGUCAGCCUAAGACCAACAGGACAGGAUUAGGCAGGGACCCAGGCUGCCCGGUGAGACAGGUGCUGAGAGCUGGGACGUGCUUCCAUGCGCCUGCUGAGCUGCAGCACUCUGCUGGGCGCCCACAGACCUGCCAGUGGCUCCAGAGCAAGGCCUUGUAUAGAAUGAACAUGCGCAUGCCGUGCUCUAGUUAUCUAACUGCACAAAUCCUUUAUCCCUCCGGGUCUCAGCUUUCCCAUCUGCAAACUGCAAUUUGUUACAGCACCUACCUUCCAGGGUUGCUGUGUGGACCAAAUUAGCUAAGGCAGGAACGACGCCUGCUGCUGCUGCUGCUAAGUCACUUCAGUCGUGUCUGACUCUGUGCAACCCCUGAGACGGCAGCCCGCCAGGCUCCCCCAUCCCUGGGAUUCUCCAGGCAAGAACACUGGAGUGGAUUGCCAUUUCCUUCUCCAAUGUAUGAAAGUGAAAAGUGAAAGUGAAGUUGCUCAGUCGUGUCCGACUCCUAGCGACCCCGUGGACUGCAGCCUACCAGGCUCCUCCAUCCAUGGGAUUUUCCAGGCAAGAGUACUGGAGUGGGGUGCCAUUGCCUUCUCUGAGGAACGGUGCCUAGCACUUAGCAAAUGAUCAAUCAGUGAUAGAGUUAUCUGUUAUCAGAUCAUUAUUAUCAGCUGUGUCAUCUCUGCUGUACUAAGGGCAGGGCAGGGCUCUAGUGCUUUAUUUGACAGGUUAGAGGAGGCUGCAUGGAGGUGACAUGAUUACCCUAGGACACAGGCUGCUAGAGGACAGAGCCCUGUUUGAAGCCCCCAUACCCCCUUCACUAGGUGAUACAUCCCAGGCAUGAUGUGACGUCCAGCCUAGGGGUCCUCUGAACUGACCACAAAGAGAAACUAUGAAGUUCAGCACUUAGAGGGUAACUGGGACCCUGUAUGCUCGAAUAGACAAGGAUUUGUUUUGUUUGAUUUACAUCGCUGCUAUGGACAAAAACGUGGCCAAAGCAUUCAUCUGGACAAGGGCACAGGAUUAGUAAACUAAUGAGGAUGGACUUUAUCUAUACCUUCACGGCUAAAGCGAAUCAUCUAAGUUUUAAAUGAGAUGCUCCUUGAAUUUCCAUACAUGUCUUAGGUACACACAGGCUCAGAAAAAGGUCUUCAACAGCGUGAGACCCACAUUGGCAGUUUAGCACGCGGCUCUGGAAUCACACUGCCUUGGUUCAAAUCCUGGCUCCACCACUUCCAAGCCAAACUAGGAGGAUUCCUGGCAGGCAUCAACCUCCUCCUGGUAAAACUUGCAUAUAAUGAAUCUUAUUACUCCAAAAUGCUCUCAUGCCUUGUCCCAGUCAUUCCUCCGCCAACCCCAGAGCUUCUCCUACAUCUGACAAGCAACACGGAGUAGAACGGGUGUUUGGGAGUUUGAAGGUGGCCCACCUUCAGGGAGCUUGCACCCUUCUGCCUGCCCCUGGGACUGGGCUGGACAUAAUUCCUGCUGUGUCCC